AUGGCGAUGGGGUCUUUCCUGAUCCCUAUAUCCCUGCUGGUUCUCGCCGCGAGCUCGGCCGUGGCCCAGCUGGAGAUGGGAUACUACCGCAAGUCAUGCCCGGACGUGGAGGCGAUAGUCCGCGAGGAGAUGGUGAAGAUCAUCUCCGCCGCGCCCAGCCUCGCCGGCCCGCUCCUCCGCCUUCAUUUCCACGACUGCUUUGUCAGGGGCUGUGACGCGUCUGUGCUGCUGGACUCCACCAAGGGCAACCUGGCAGAGAGGGACGCCAAGCCCAACAAGAGCCUGCGGGGAUUCGGCUCCGUGGAGCGGGUGAAGGCCAAGCUCGAGGCCGCAUGCCCGGGCGUUGUGUCCUGCGCCGACGUACUCACGCUCAUGGCCCGCGACGCCGUCGUCCUGGCCAAGGGACCCUCCUGGCCCGUGGCGCUCGGCAGGAGAGACGGCAGCGUGUCCACUGCCACGGAGGCGAGCGACGAGCUGCCACCCUCCUUCGGCGACGUCCCUCUGCUCACCCGGAUCUUCGCCUCCAAGGGGCUCGACCUCAAGGACCUCGUCGUCCUCUCCGGCGCGCACACGCUCGGGACGGCGCACUGCCCGUCGUUCGCCGACCGGCUCUACAACACCACCGGAAACGGCCUCGUCGACCCGUCGCUGGACAGCGAGUAUGCCGACAAGCUGAGGCUCAAGUGCAAGAGCGUCCACGACAAGAGCAUGCUGUCGGAGAUGGAUCCCGGCAGCUACAGGACCUUCGACACCAGCUAUUACCGUCACGUCGCCAAGCGCAGGGGGCUCUUCCGCUCCGACGCUGCCCUGCUCACUGACGCCACCACCGAGGAAUACGUCCGGCACGUCGCUACCGGCAAGUUCGACGACGCGUUCUUCAGGGAUUUCAGCGAGUCCAUGAUCAAGAUGGGCAACAUCGGCGUGCUUAUCGGCCGUGAUGGAGACAUAAGGAAGAAAUGCUACGUCCUCAACUAG
rnacentral:rRNA from 1 species